UACGAAGGGGGCUAGCGUUGUUCGGAUUUACUGGGCGUAAAGCGCGCGUAGGCGGGUUCUCAAGUCAGGGGUGAAAUCCCCGGGCUCAACCUGGGAACUGCAUUUGUGACUGCACGGCUAGAGUGUGUCAGAGGGGGGUAGAAUUCCACGUGUAGCAGUGAAAUGCGUAGAUAUGUGGAGGAAUACCGAUGGCGAAGGCAGCCCCCUGGGAUAACACUGACGCUCAUGCACGAAAGCGUGGGGAGCAAACAGG
rnacentral:rRNA from 1 species